GGCCUCCGAGUCCUCGUCCCGUUCCCGAAGAGGUAAAGGAAUGUUUACGGCCUGACUCAAGUUCAACGACAAAACCCUGCCUGGAGGGGGAGGGGUAGCUACCAACAAAACACAGCCAGACAAAGACCCGGCUCAGAGCCGCCUCCCUGUCCCCAGCCUGGGUCCCGCGUCAACGUCGGCUGCGCGCCCGCCUGGGUGGGAGUGGGGCGGUCACAGUCUGCGCGGGAAAGACGUCUGAGCACAGAGCGAACUUCUCCCGCGUCCCGGACUGGGCGAGGACGCCCCUGCCUCUUCCCCGGCGCAUCCAGAGCCCGCGGCCAGACCGCCGGACGUCCUCCCGCUACGGCCUGCGUUCUCCUGUUCCCUCGCCGAGGGCCCAUACAAGUAAAUCACUCAGGAAAAAAGGGGACGCCCGCCGAGAAUUGUUCUGCGGAGAUAAACACCAUGACGCUCCAGGGCAAGGAAGGCCUGGGCGGGGGAAGGUGGCGCUGUGGCCUUGGCCUGGAGCCCCGACCGCCCCAUUCUUUCUCCACUCGAGAUCGCCCGUGCUGUCCUCCUGGCCUCCCUCCUGGUUCUCUUGGCAUCUGGACCGGCACAUCUGCCAACACCCAGGCCCAGUUCCAGGCGACUCCAGGUCCUCGCCUUCCGCGGGACACGCAGUCCCAAACUCUGGAGCCCGGAGGCUCCGGCACCGGGAAGCCGGAGAGGCUCCGAGCGGGUUACAACGCAGCGGAUCCGCAGGUUUCCCUGAAACGACGAGCUUUGGCCGGAAGGGGGCGCCCUUGUCUUUUGAAUAGUCCAAACUCACAGUGGUAGCGAAUAAAUCUCUAACAUCCCAAA